GAUGAACGCUGGCGGCGUGCUUAACACAUGCAAGUCGAACGGAAAGGCCCAAGCUUGCUUGGGUACUCGAGUGGCGAACGGGUGAGUAACACGUGGGUGAUCUGCCCUGCACUUCGGGAUAAGCCUGGGAAACUGGGUCUAAUACCGGAUAGGACCACAUUUUGGAUGGUGUGGUGGAAAGUUUUUCGGUGUGGGAUGAGCUCGCGGCCUAUCAGCUUGUUGGUGGGGUAAUGGCCUACCAAGGCGUCGACGGGUAGCCGGCCUGAGAGGGUGUACGGCCACAUUGGGACUGAGAUACGGCCCAGACUCCUACGGGAGGCAGCAGUGGGGAAUAUUGCACAAUGGGCGCAAGCCUGAUGCGGCGACGCCGCGUGGGGGAUGACGGCCUUCGGGUUGUAAACUCCUUUCGCUAGGGACGAAGCGUUAUGUGACGGUACCUGGAGAAGAAGCACCGGCUAACUACGUG
rnacentral:rRNA from 1 species